GACGGGGGGGGCAAGUGUUCUUCGGAAUGACUGGGCGUAAAGGGCACGUAGGCGGUGAAUCGGGUUGAAAGUGAAAGUCGCCAAAAACUGGCGGAAUGCUCUCGAAACCAAUUCACUUGGGUGAGACAGAGGAGAGUGGAAUUUCGUGUGUAGGGGUGAAAUCCGCAAAUCUACGAAGGAAGGCCAAAAGCGAAGGCAGCUCUCUGGGUCCCUACCGACGCUGGGGUGCGAAAGCAUGGGGGAGCGAACAGG
rnacentral:rRNA from 1 species